UCCGAGUUAACCACGGCAGUCUCUCUAGAGUGCCCAACUGAAUGCUGGCAACUAAAGAUAGGGGUUGCGCUCGUUGCGGGACUUAACCCAACAUGUCACCACACGAGCUGACGACAGCCAUGCAGCACCUGUCAUCCUGCGGUAUUGCUACCGAAACCGUAUCUCUACGGCUUUCCCCGAGAUGUCAAGCCCAGGUAAGGUUCUUCGCGUUGCGUCGAAUUAAACCACAUGCUCCACCGCUUGUGCGGGCCCCCGUCAAUUCCUUUGAGUUUCAGCCUUGCGGCCGUACUCCCCAGGCGGGGCACUUAAUGCGUUAGCGCCGGCACUCAGGGGGUCGCUCCCCCAAGCACCUAGUGCCCAUCGUUUACGGCGUGGACUAC
rnacentral:misc_RNA from 1 species